rnacentral:tRNA from 1 species
GUUUGUGGCUCAGAGGUAGAGGGCUUGCCUAGCAUGUAUGAGGCCCUGGAUUCGAUCCUCAUCACUACA